GGGGCUGUGGCUCAGUGGUAGAGCACUUGCCUAGCAUGUGUGAGGCCCUGGGUUCAAUUCUCAGCACCA
rfam:Ictidomys tridecemlineatus contig002500, whole genome shotgun sequence.